rnacentral:rRNA from 1 species
UACGAAGGGGGCUAGCGUUGUUCGGAAUUACUGGGCGUAAAGCGUGUGUAGGCGGAUCGUUAAGUGCCUUGUGAAAUCCCACGGCUCAACCGUGGAACUGCUUGGCAUACUGGCGGUCUUGAGCAACCUAGGGGCGAGCGGAACAAAUGGUGGAGCGGUGAAAUGCGUAGAUAUCAUUUGGAACGCCAAUGGUGAAAACAGCUCGCUGGGGGUUUGCUGACGCUGAGACACGAAAGCCAGGGGAGCAAACGGG